GCAACACGGGGACGAGAUCAGACUUCUGGGUGUGUUGUAUGUCUGUGGCUGUCUCUCUGUGGCUGUGUUUUGUAGGUGUGUUCAGUGUUCUGUGUCCUGCGUCUGUGCCUGUACCUGUAUCCUGUGUCUGUGUCCUGUAGGUGUGUUCAGUGUUAUGUGUCCUGCGUUUGUCCCUGUACCUGUAUCCUGUGUCUGUGUUCUGCGUCUACCCGUAUAUGUGUGUCCAGUGUUUGUGAGUGUGUGUGUCAAAUUUCAACCAUAAAACACGGUGAAUUUUUUUUUUUUUCUGCGUAUAUUUCUUUCCUUUAGUGUUUUAUGUGCAAGCUGGAUGUCGUUUCCUAAGACUUUCAGAAGGGGAGAGGAGGGAAGUGUGUGUGUGUGUGUGUGUGUGUGUGUGUGUGUGUGUGUGUGUGUGUGUGUG